CUUUACUGCAACUUGACGUUGGAACUUGGCUGUAUUUGUGUAGGAUAGGUGGGAGACUUUGAGCAGGGCCGCCAGGUCUUGCGGAGUCGUCGUUGAAAUACCACCCUGGUGCUGACGAGUUUCUAACCGUGUCCGUAAGCCGGACAUGAGACAGCGUCUGGUGGGCAGUUUGACUGGGGCGGUCGCCUCCUAAAAGGUAACGGAGGCAUUCAAAGGUCCCCUCAGCGUGGUCGGUAAUCACGCGCAGAGUGCAAACGCAUAAGGGGGCUUAACUGCGAGACCGACAGGUCGAGCAGGUACGAAAGUAGGAGUUAGUGAUCCCGCGGUGUAGCGUGGAAUUGCCGUUGCUCAAUGGAUAAAAGGUA
rnacentral:rRNA from 1 species